CCGCGAGGUAAAGAUGAA
rnacentral:snRNA from 1 species